rfam:Ovis aries breed Texel chromosome 6, whole genome shotgun sequence.
UCCCUUGUGGCUCAGCUGGUAAAGAACCUGCCUGCAGUGCAGGAGACCUGGGUUCUAUCCCCGGGUUGGGAA